CUACUCGGGUGACUGACGCAGGAGAGUCACUUGAACCCAGGAGGUGGAGGUUGCUAUGACCCAAGAUCGUGCCAUUGCACUCCAGCCUGGGUGACAGAGUGGGACUCUUUCAAAAAAAUAAAGGCAGGGGGAGGCCUGGGGACAUAAGGGAUAGUUGACAGGAUUUUAUACUGUGAUUACUUUAAGACCUAGAUUGUAAUAUGUUUAAUGGUACUUUUUGAUUUCUUAACGUUUUUGAUGUGUAGCUAGUUAAUAUAGAGCUAUUAAUUUUGUUCAUUAGUCGAUUUUUCUAAUGUAGUAUGCCAGCCAUUUAUACCUUUUUACCUGAGUUAACUACCGUGUUUUCAUUUAACUUAAGGUAGUUUUGAACAUUUCUAAGCAUUAUGUCUUAAGAUUCAGAAAAUAUAACCAGAUCCACUUAUGAAUUUCCAUUCCACUCGUGACCUGACAAGUCAUACAACCUCUCAGCCUCACUUUCCCCACCAGACAAGUAGAAUGAAAAAAAUUAUUUGGCAGAAUUGUGAUAAAGAUUAAGGGAUGUACAACAGAACAACCUAUUAUCAUUUUUAUGAGUUUUCUCUUAUUUAUAUUAUAGAAAUGAAAUUAUGGGGUACUAGAGGGGUAUUUUAAUCUUGCUUUUUUCAGAACAAGCAGCAUGGUAAUACGGAGAGAACUGCUGUGUUAGAACUGGCUGUGCCUGGUUCAGCCACUCACUAGCUUAUAUUGUCUUGAAAAGUCCGUUAGCCUCCCUGAGCAUCAAGUUUCUCAUCCACAGAAUUGUGAUUAUACCUUUUGUGAGGAUUAGAAGUAAUGUUUGUAAAUCACCUAGCAAAAGUGCCUGCCUGGCCUAUGUUAGGAGUGCGUUUAUGAUGAUGAUUAUCAUCUCUAGUAUUAUGGUAAACGCUUAACAGGGUAAAAGUUUUUUAGUCUGAAACCUUUAAAAAAACAGAAUUAAGGUUGUUCCAUAACCCAUUAUAUAGUCAUGUAUUGCUUAACAGUGGGAAUAUAUUCUGAGAACUGCACCAUUAGACAGAUCUGUUGUGGGAACCUCAUGGAAUGCACCUACAGAAACCUAGAUGAGAUAGACUACUAUACACCUAGGCUAUGUGGUAUAUGGCCCAUUGCUCCUAGGCUAUACAUCUACCUGUAUAGCAUGUAGCAAUACCGAUUGCUGUGGGCAAUUUUAACACUUUUAAAAGCAUUCAUAUGUCUAAACAGAUAUAAACAUAGACAAAUACAGUAGAAAUAUGGUAUAAAAGAUAAAAAAUGGUACACAUGGAUAAGGCACUUGCUAUGAAUAUAGCUUGCAGAACUGGAAAUUGCUUUGGGUGAGUGAGUUAGUGGUGAGUGAACUGACGGCUUAGGACAGUACACUGCUGUAGACCUAAACAUUGUAUACUUAGGCUACCUUAAAUUUAUUAAAGAAAAUUUUCUCUCUCCAGUAAUAAAUUAACCUUAGCUUACUUUUUUUGUUUUAUAAACUUUUAAGUUUUAAAAAUGUUUUAACUCAUUUUUAGUAAGAUUUAAGAUACAGCUGUAUAAAAUGUUUUCUUUAUAUCCUUAUUCUGCAAGCUUUUUUCUAUUUUUUACGUUUUUAUUUUUCUAAAAAAACUUUUUUGUUAAAAACUAAGACUCACAUGCAUUAUCCUAGGCUCACACAGGGUCUCGAUUAUUAAGAUGUCAGGAGAUGAUAGGAAUUUUUCAGCUAUGUUAAUAAUCCUACAGGACCUCUGUCAUAUACUUGGUCUGUCCUUGAUCAAAACUAGAUAUCCAGUGUUUCUAGCUAAAGAAAAAACAAACAUUUUGAAAAAUUUUGAAAACCGAAAAGGUUUUAAACUUCUUAAGGAAAUUUAGAGUAGAGUUCAUUUCUAGGACUUUGUAAUUAUAUAUUUUAGAAUUCAAAUUGGUGAUGUUUGGGAUGGGGGUUUAGGGGAAGUUGUUAUCUUCCAGAAGAAAUGUCAAAUAUAAAAUAUAUAAUUCCUUUUGUCAUGUAGAUUUAUGUAGGAAAAAACAUAAUAGGAUAAGCCUAGGAAGGAUUUUUUGGUAUGAAGAUUUUUUUUAAAGGGCAUAUGUGAUUGGAAAUUUGACUGUUGGUAUGUGGAGAGAGAUAAUUGUACAUGAAAAGUACUAUAACUUGAAAAAAUCUUACAGUUAAGAGGACUAGUUGUAACCAAAGGACAAAUUUAUUUCGGUCCAAUGAUUACUCCUAUCAAAAAUUAUUGUAGUCUCUACAUACCUUUUUUUUUUUUUUUUUUGAGUUGGAGUCUCGCUCUGUUGCCCAGCCUGGAGUGCAGUGGCGCGAUUUUGGCUCAUUGCAACCUCCACCUCCCAGGUUCAAGUGAUUCUCCUGCCUCAGCCUCCGAGUAGCUGGGACCACAGGUGUGCGCCACCACGCCCAGCUAUCUAUGUACCUGAUUUUAUUGCCUGUUUAUCUGUGACAUUUUGACAUUUUCCUUCUAUUUUGCCCAAAUAAGGUGUGGGACUCCUAAUGAAGGUCCUGGGAAGGAUUAUAUUAUUUAUAAAACUUUAUUAUAGACAUGAAAACAGUUCUGAAUAUGUGAGGAGAAGUAAUUGUAGUACUAUUAGGUGAUGCAGUUUGUAGCUAGGAAAUGACAGGAUUGAUGCUGGUGUGUUAGAGUAAAACUUUCCCUUUGUUUUAAAGUGAGUGAACCUUGUUAGGUACUAGGAAACAGCAGCAGUCUUAUGGUUAUUCUGGGUUUCAACACUGGAAACAUCUAAUAACAGCAUUAUUCUGAAAUAAUUGAAAAUAAUCUAUUGUUUUAAAUAAGGAAUUGAAGAUAAUUGAAUAUGCAGCGUGAAAGGUUAGGCUGCAACUGACAGUGGGUGAUGUUGCAAGAUAAUGACAAGCUACAGUACUUUUGGAUUAUCAGGAAUUAGCAAAAAUGAUGUCUUGGUGUCCUCUGGUAAUUUCUGAGUUGUGAACUAUCUUGAUCAUUUAUGUACUUUGGCAGGUAAUGUAAUAAUGAAUAUAAAACUUUUAAUUUUGUGCAAUCCUAUUUCUUAAACCAAUAAAUUAGAAAGGAAAACCAAGAGAUUGCAUCCACAAGAUCGAGCCUAAGUAGGUAGUAGAAAGAAUAGAAGGUCUUUAUUCUAAAUUUUAUUGUUAAUUCAGAAUGGAUAGUGUCUAAUCCCAAAUGAGAUUAUAGUGACUGUAAAUUUUAAUGUAACAAAGGAUUGUCUUGCCAUGUUCUUAAAGUUACCAUUUUAAUGAGCUAUAGUAAUAUUCUAAAACAUGCAGCAAUCUGUGUAGUCAUCCAUAUGUGACAUCUGUUUCUUCAUAAAGUGCAUUUCUAAGGUAAAACUGUUGGUGGAUUUGUAUGUAUGGUUAGGAAGGCUUAUUAAACAUUUUUUUUAAAUGAUAGGCACAAGUAUUAUGUAUUAGAUUUUUUUUUGUUUCCCAAAAAUGUUACCUACUUUGAAAAUCUUAAAUCUAUAAACACUUGUGAAGGUAUUUAGCAGAAGCAUCAAUAAGCGUUUCAAUCAGAAUCAACAAGAUGGAUUAUUAGAAACUAUGUAUAUAUGCUUAUGUAAUGGAUUUAGAGAAAUUUGUUUACUCC